CGAAAAUCACGGUUGGCAAAUUUCAGCGAGUAAUAUAUUCUCAUUCUCAAGAACAGCUUCUGGACAUAUUCCAGCAGGAAUUCUUCACAGUACUGGAAUGGCACAGGUUCUGUCUUGAGUAACCUGAAGAUAUCACUUCCAACAGAGGAACGCCUUCGUAUAAAUAGAGAAGUUUUCGAAAAAGACUGCUUCAAGUUGAACGACGUACUCCAGGAAACUAGCUGAAGGCACAUGCAGACCUCCAAAUUGGGAUUUGUCUUGGUCAUAUAUCUUGAAAUAACAAUCUAAUGUCUUGUUGUCAUCCAGAUCAUUUGACUCAGGU